AAAUUGAAGAGUUUGAUCAUGGCUCAGAUUGAACGCUGGCGGCAGGCCUAACACAUGCAAGUCGAACGGUAACAGGAAGCAGCUUGCUGCUUUGCUGACGAGUGGCGGACGGGUGAGUAAUGUCUGGGAAACUGCCUGAUGGAGGGGGAUAACUACUGGAAACGGUGGCUAAUACCGCAUAACGUCGCAAGACCAAAGAGGGGGACCUUCGGGCCUCUUGCCAUCAGAUGUGCCCAGAUGGGAUUAGCUUGUUGGUGAGGUAACGGCUCACCAAGGCGACGAUCCCUAGCUGGUCUGAGAGGAUG
rnacentral:rRNA from 2 species